CCAUUAUAUUUUUAGGCUAUUCUUAGGGCAUAUUUAGGGUAUUCGCCAUAAACUUCAGGGAUCAGUUAGACAGCAACAACCUGAUGCAGCAGGAGUAUUAAUACAGUGUCCCGUAAAAUAUUUCAUGCGUCUACAGUAUUGGUAGCAACCAUCAUCAUUAUUUGGACAAUAUGCUUUAGUUGCUUCUUCAAAGCACUGCAUAGUCUGCUUCUUAUACAUUGUUCUUGCUGCCAUUGUGCAAAUUCUUGCUUCUGCAAUAUUCAGUACACAUUAUGGUUAUUCGAAUUUGUAUGUGCAAAAAUUCUAAUAUAUAUAUAUAUAGGUUCGGGCUUCUUAGAGAGCCUUCUUGUAAGAAAAUCCAAUAAGAAUUUAUCGAUUCACAUAUUUGUUGUAUUCGUUCUGUUUCAAAAUAACCGUAGCGUUAAUUUUUUUUAAUACAUUAAAAAAUUAAUAAAUUUAGACCUAUUUUGUAUUAAACACACUAUUUUUUAAUAUAUAAAGAAAAAAGGUCAAAGAGAUCAUUAUUUUAAAAUGGAUGGAGAAAUAUUUUUGCUUACCUGAAGCCAAAAGCAGAGCUACAAGAAGGUUGCAUAAGAAGAUUUUUGUAUAACCGUUGAUAGCCAUUAUUGUAGAAAAGCUUGUUUUGUUUUCU
rnacentral:lncRNA from 1 species